AUUGAACGCUGGCGGCAGGCCUAACACAUGCAAGUCGAGCGAGCGGCGGACGGGUGAGUAAUGUAUGGGGACUGCCCGAUAGAGGGGGAUAACUACUGGAAACGGUAGCUAAUACCGCAUACUAUCGGAUAACCCAUAUGGGAUUAGAUAGUAGGUGAGGUAAUGGCUCACUUAGGCGACGCUCCCUAGCUGGUCUGAGAGGAUGAGCAGCAACACUGGGACUGCGACACGGCCCAGACGCCUACGGAGGCAGCAGUGGGGAAUAUUGCACAAUGGGCGCAAGCCUGAUGCAGCAAUGCCGAGUGUAUGAAGAAGUCUCUAGGGUUGUAAAGUACUUUCAGUCGGGAGGCGUUACCGACAGAAGAAGCACCGGCUAACUCCGUGCCAGCAGCCGCGGUAAUUC
rnacentral:rRNA from 1 species